rnacentral:rRNA from 1 species
AUUGAACGCUGGCGGCAUGCCUUACACAUGCAAGUCGAACGGCAGCACGGGAGCAAUCCUGGUGGCGAGUGGCGAACGGGUGAGUAAUAUAUCGGAACGUGCCCAGUCGUGGGGGAUAACGUAGCGAAAGCUACGCUAAUACCGCAUACGAUCUAUGGAUGAAAGCGGGGGAUCGCAAGCCCUCGCGCGAUUGGAGCGGCCGAUAUCAGAUUAGGUAGUUGGUGAGGUAAAGGCUCACCAAGCCGACGAUCUGUAGCUGGCCUGAGAGGACGACCAGCCACACUGGGACUGAGACACGGCCCAGACUCCUACGGGAGGCAGCAGUGGGGAAUUUUGGACAAUGGGCGCAAGCCUGAUCCAGCAAUGCCGCGUGCAGGAUGAAGGCCUUCGGGUUGUAAACUGCUUUUGUACGGAGCGAAAAGGCUUCCACUAAUACUGGGGGCUCAUGACGGUACCGUAAGAAUAAGCACCGGCUAACUACGUGCCAGCCGCCGCGGUAAUAC